GACAUCCUUCCUCUGGAGGGCCUGCGCUCCUCCGCUAAACCCAGUUCCGGUGCUGUGGGGAGCUCAGAGGCCGGGGAGGAGAGGGAGCUCGGGGUGCAGCCCCACGGCCCUUUGCUGCGGCAGCUUUCUGUUCUCCCUGGCUCCCUGCACGGAACUGAGCUUUGGUGUGUGAUGCGCUGCUGGCCCAGGCUACACCCCGACAAGGGACACCGGGGGCCCCGGGAGCAGAGAGACCUCAGAGCAGCCUCCUCCUGCCUCCUGUGGACGGCCGGCCCCAGCUGGUGAUCCCAGCCAGUCCCAGCUUUCAGUUGCUGCCCCCACCGACAGUCCUCAGUCCCUCCAUGAUGGCUCCCCCGACAGCCGGCCCCCUUCCUGGCCCAGCUCUUCCGCCUGAGGACCCAGGGCCGGAUCCGGAGAGCAGGUGGCUUUUCUUGAGCGCCAACAUUCUGCCCGUGGGUGAGUGAGGCCCUGGCUACCC
rnacentral:lncRNA from 10 species